rnacentral:rRNA from 1 species
AAGCUUAUCCCGCCGGUUGGCGGGACAACUCCUUACCCAAAUUGGCGGAGGCGCGUUGAUCCCGACCGCUUGGGUUCUUUUUUUCGAUUGAGGAGUUAAAGUUGGUUUAUGGUCUUUAAACCAUCAUCACUGACCCAGGAUCGCCAUAGUGAAUACGCCUGGGAUAUGGCUGG